GCCUCUGUGGUCUAAUGUUUAUGACGCUCGCCUGGACAGCGAGAGGUUGCAGGUUCAAACACUGUCAGAGGCA